rnacentral:misc_RNA from 1 species
AGGUGAACCUGCGGAAGGAUCAUUACUGAGUGCGGGCUGCCUCCGGGCGCCCAACCUCCCACCCGUGAAUACCUAACACUGUUGCUUCGGCGGGGAACCCCCUCGGGGGCGAGCCGCCGGGGACUACUGAACUUCAUGCCUGAGAGUGAUGCAGUCUGAGUCUGAAUAUAGAAUCAGUCAAAACUUUCAACAAUGGAUCUCUUGGUUCCGG